rnacentral:rRNA from 1 species
AUGGAAGGGGUCACAAACUACCUAAGCUGGUCCAGAAGGGCAUUGCUAAUAUUGAGGACAAAGGGGCUGGAAGGCUAUGUCAGAGGGGAAGUAGAUGAACCGGCGAACAGGGCAAGUGAAGAGUGGAAGAAGUGGAGUGUCAUUGACUCUCUGGUGGUGGCAUGGCUGCUGAACUCCUUGACCCCAUCCAUUGCAGCAGCCGUGGAGACUCUUCCCCAUGCAGCAGAGGUAUGGAAAACCCUGGAAACAUUGUACUCCGGGAAAGGGAACAUAAUGCUUAUGGCGCAGAUUGAGGAUAGAGUAAAUGAGCUAAAACAAGGGGAUAAGUCGGUGAUGGAGUAUGUAGCAGAAUUGCAGCAUUUGUGGGCUGACUUAGACCACUAUGAUCCACUAGAGUUACCACAUUCAGAAUGUAUAGUUGCUACUAAGAAGUGGGUAGAGCGUAGGAGAGUGAUGAAAUUCUUGAAGGGACUUAGCUCAUAA